AUUCCAUGAUGAGGGAAAUUCCGUAAUAACUGUUUGUACCUUUCCCAUGCCUCAUACAAGGACUCAUCAUCCGUUUGAUGGAAAGCAGUGAUCUCAUUCCUUAACUU
rnacentral:snoRNA from 1 species